rnacentral:rRNA from 1 species
CCUACGUGUGGCUGCAGUAAGGAAUAUUGGUCAAUGGACGAAAGUCUGAACCAGCCAUGCCGCGUGGAGGAUGAAGGUCCUCUGGAUUGUAAACUUCUUUUAUAUGGGACGAAAAAAGGCCUUUCCAGGUCGUCUGACGGUACCAUAUGAAUAAGCACCGGCUAACUCCGUGCCAGCAGCCGCGGUAAUACGGAGGGUGCAAGCGUUAACCGGAUUCACUGGGUUCAAAGGGUGGGUAGGUGGUCAGGUAUGAAAUCCCCGAGCUUAACUUGGGAACUGCCAUUGAUACUAUCAGUCUUGAAUACCGUGGAGGUCAGCGGAAUAUGUCAUGUAGCGGUGAAAUGCUUAGAUAUGACAUAGAACACCAAUUGCGAAGGCAGCUGGCGACACGAGUAUUGACACUGAGGCACGAAAGCGUGGGGAUCAAACAGGAUUAGAUACCCCUUAGUC